GUUUGUGAAUUUUUAUUUCAAAUAUUUGGAAUUCCGUUGUUGAAAUUAAAAAUUAAAUUUUAAUUUUUAUGCCGAUGUUGGGAAUUGGACAUAGUGGAGAAGAAAAGCGAAUGAUAAUAAUCAAAUAACCUACCUUAAAAACUGCCCCGCAACUUCAAUAAUUUGUGUCUAAUGCUAUCAGAAAUUGUGUAUUGAAUGGAAGAUGAUGGAUCUGUGCGAGUUCUAGUUUAAUAUGGUUAAACACGAAGUACGCAAACGCGAGAAUUAGCUUUCCAUACAAGCAUCUUCUUGGGGAGAAAAGCACGUGGGCAAAAUUCGAGAACGAUAUUUCAAAUACUGAGGAAUAGUUCGUACAUACAUAUAUAUUUUACAGGGUUUUCGACGUUUUCUUCUGGGUUAGAGGUAAUUUUUAAUUGACAAUGGAAAUGCUAUUGUUGGAAAGUUACGGUAUAGAUCAGAAGGAGAAAUUUCAAGAUUAAGCAGUAAUAUUAUAUGGGAUUCAGCAUUAAAGCCCUUCAAGAAAUCAGUGUACAUAAUGUGGAUAUGAUAUCCACGCUUGUGAGUCGAAUUACAAAAAAGAUGAUAAGAAGCAAAAAAAGAACUAGUACUCGUAUCAACAUCAAUGUGAAAUUCAAAAGACAAUAAUAUACCCUUUCUUACUAGUGGAAUUAAAGUACAUCUGUACCUUGUGUACUUGUGUGACAUGUAUGUGUGCAUUGUACAUUCCUAUAUGUACCAUACGAGUAUAUAAUAUAUUUGUGAUUGUAUACAAGUAUUUUUAUGAUAUGAUCAUGUAGCACGUUAAUAAAAUUUCUCCGUAUAAUUGGUGUGCAGUUGAAUUGGAGCAAAGCAAAGUGGGGCAAAAUUAGUUACAUAUACAUACAUAUGCACAUAUGUACAUACAUAACGAAAACCGGCUGCCAUUAGC